rnacentral:rRNA from 1 species
CACGUAGGGCGCAAGCGUUGUCCGGAAUUAUUGGGCGUAAAGAGCUCGUAGGCGGCCUGUUGCGUCGAAAGUGAAAAACUCAGGGCUUAACCCUGAGCCUGCUUCCGAUACGGGCAGACUAGAGGUAUGCAGGGGAGAACGGAAUUCCUGGUGUAGCGGUGAAAUGCGCAGAUAUCAGGAGGAACACCGGUGGCGAAGGCGGUUCUCUGGGCAUUACCUGACGCUGAGGAGCGAAAGUGUGGGGAGCGAACAGG